rnacentral:rRNA from 1 species
AUGUACCUAUCCCACGAUGAUGCAUGGUGGACUGUUGACCGUUUCGAGGACACACACAAUCACCCCCUAAUCAAAAAGCCUUCCCUAACAAAAUUCUUAUCAUCACAUCGGUACAUUCCGAAGGAGGAGCAGGACUUCUUGAGGGUUCUGCAUGGAUGCAACGUUGAGACUGCGAGGCAGAUGCAGCUGAUGUCAUGGUUCUACGGGAGCGCUAAAGACGUACCCUACACGACACAAGACAUUGCUAAUCAACGAGCUAAGUUUCGCUUAGAGCACCGCCACAAGGACGUUGGGAGCACAAUUGCAUACUUCCAAGAGAUGAGGGCCAAAGAUUCAUAUUUCUACUGGAGAAUCAAACUUGAUGAUGAGGACAGGGUUGAGAACUUGUUCUGGAUAGAUGGCGCAUCACGC